AUCUGCGAUGGGUGCCUCUAGGGUCAAAACUCACCCUGUCCUGAUGGGAGAGGCAGUCCAGGUAGCAUCUAUGGACAGCACAGUCCUGCACAGGUAGGUACAUGGUGCUCGUCUAGAAGGUUAAUCCUGCAAGGCUUCCUGAUGAGCCCCCACCCCAUGGGGCCCAGGAGGGGCAACACUGGAGGAUCGACUACAGAAGGGGUUGUGGAAGGCAGAUGGGAACUGUGGCAAAGAGGAAUGCAGCCACCGUCGGAGCUGUGGCCAGGCAGAGGGAGCAGGAGCUUCAGUAUCCCACCUCUCUUUCAUCCUGUUCUCCAGUCUUCUGGGGACCUCCUUUUUGCUGAACCUAACAAAAGUCAGAGGACAAGGCUGACCCAGGGAUACAGUCUGUAGGGGUCAGCCCCCCCUCCCCCCAGGGAACAUAGCAGGAAAAUGAAUCUAAGAGGGGCAAACCAAGCCAGCAUGGUAGGAAAUUCUCUGUUGCUGUGGACAACGUGUCUGUCUCUCCCCAGAACUCGUGUCCACUAGCCUAGACAGAAGGUGUGGCUGUCUCCUAAACUAUCCCCUUACUUCCUUCAGGUCUUACCUCAAACAUCCUCUUAUCAGAGGGGCCUGCUUACAUCCUACAGAAAAUAGUACCACUCCCCCAUCACUGUUAACCUUACCCAGUUUAAUUCAGCAUAGCACCUGCCAAUGCUUGACAUGCGUUUACUUAUUGAUCUUUCCCGAGUAGAACAUAAGCUUGAGAGCAGAGCCAUUUUCUCUUUUCUUCACUGCUUUAUCUUCAAGCCCCCAGAACAGCGUCUGUGUUGUAGGGGAUGCUUGAUAAAUGUUGAUUGGCCAAAUGAAAAAAAAGUGCAAACAAGCAUGGGCAACCCGGCUUUUCCUGAAGACACUUUUGCUUUUGGCUUGACUCCCCCUUGCUGGCCAAGCCCUGGAAAGGCAUCAGUGGGUCAUUCCCCAAGUGUGUUCAUGCCUCAGCCCUUCUUUCUUAUCAACUGUGGGAGAGUUCUUAAAGUACAUUUUAUUUUUAAAGCAUUUCCGUUUAUGUCCCUGAAACCUCCAAGCACCCCUCUGAGCUAGACCCCAGGCAGUCAUUAGCCAUGUCUUUGGAUAAGCAAACUGAAUCAGAGAGGGUGGGUGACUUGCCAAAGAACACGUAGCUGGUAGCGUUAACUAGUGCCCAGGCACUGUGACUUACAAGGGCUGACCUGGGUUUGACAGCAGUGUUCUCACUGAUACUCCUUGAGAUUUAGGCCCAGCUCUCUGAGCUUGGGAGUGAAUGCCCUGUUCACCGAUGUUCCCCUUCCUGGGCUCGCUUCAGCAAAGGCAAUGAGGAUAAUUUCCAGGCCUUCUCUUCUCCUCACUACUCUUUUUUUUUUUUUGCGGUACGCGGGUCUCUCACUGUUGUGGCCUCUCCCGCUGCGGAGCACAGGCUCUGGACGCGCAGGCUCAGCGGCCAUGGCUUACGGGCCUAGCCGCUCCGCGGCAUGCGGGAUCUUCCCGGACCGGGGCACAAACCCGUGUCCCCUGCAUCGGCAGGCGGACUCUCAACCACUGCGCCACCAGGGAAGCCCUCCUCACUACUCUUGAAGCUUCAUGAAAGGGGUAAUGAGUCUUCUGGAUUUAGGAGAGAGCAGACUCCCAGAGUUCUGGCUCAGGACUCCCCCGAACUAGAGGCAUAGCUUCCCCACCACUCUGGUAACAAGGAGUGACCUCUCAUCUGUUGAGGUCUUGUGUACCGGUAUGUAUAUCUUUGUGACACCAUGAGCUUGGUGUCCACACCAGUGUACAUGCAUAUGCUCCUAUGCACAGACUGCUGCUGUACCAGUAUAGAAGGGUUCAUAAGAAAAGGUCAAGGAGGACCCAAAUCCUUGUGCCUCUCCUCCCUUGCUUUGUCCAAACAAAGAUGUGUUUAUAGUGAGGCUGCUGGACAUUGCUGUCUUGGGCUUUAGAGAGAGGCCAAACAUGCAAAAACAGUGUGGUGGUGUGGACAGACCUGGGGUUGAGUCCCAGCUUCUACACUUAACCACUGUAUGAACUUGGGCAAGUCAUUUGAUUCUGAGGUUUAAUUUCUUCAUCUAUAAUAUGGGGAUAAUACCUAUCUACCCUAAAGGGUGAUUAUGAGGGUCAAAUGACAUCAUGUAUGUGAAAGUGCUUUGAAACUGGAACAUGGUGAUGAUGAUGUGGCUGGUUAUUAGGGUCAGUGAUGAUAAAUCUUGGGGAAAGAAUAAAGGAUUCUGGGAAGUCAGGCCCCCCUGAAUCUCCCCUCGUGUCUCGUACUGGCCUUCUCCUGCAUUGUCCGAUUGUAUCAUAUUAUAGAGAAGGAAGUUAAGAUCCAGACAGGGAAACAAACUUACCUAAGGUCUCAUGGAUGUUCGGGUUAAUUGGGAUGUAGAACUUGGUCCCCUAACUCCCUGGCUGGUCUGAUCCUGAGGUGGUAGAGGGGACUAACUUAUCACUCGGUGCUAAGCCCCCUACUGAACUCUGAAAUGCUGUGUACUUGGUGAUGGUGUACACUUCAGUGGUUUUUAGUAUAUUCAAAUAGUUGUACAACCGUCACCACUAUCUAAUUCCAGAACAUUGUCAUCACUCCUCAAAGAAACCUUGCACCCAUCUGCAGUCACUCCUCAUUCUUCCUUCCCUCUAGCCCCUGUAAACCACUAAUGUGUUUUCUAUCACUGUGAAUUUGCCUAGUCUGGACAUUUCAUAUCAAUGGAAUCAUACAAUAUAUGGCCUUUUGUGUCUGGCUUCUUUCACUUAGCAUAAUGUUUUCAAGGUUCAUCUGUGUUGUAACAUUUAUCAGUACUUCGUUCCUUUUUCUGGCCAAGUAAUGUUCCACUGUGUGGCUAUAUCAUAUUUUGUCAUUUUGUUUAUGUAUCAGUUGAGUGACUUUUGGGUUGGUUCCACUUUUUGCCUGUUGUGACUAGUGCUGCUAUGGACAUUGAUGUAUAAGUUUUUGUGUGGACAGAUGUUUUCAAUUCUCUUGGGUCAUUUUUUCUUUUAAUGUCAGUUUACUUUUCUAUUUGAAAAAGAUCUAGAUUGAUAUUGGAAAAUUUUUUCUGUAAAGGGUCUGAUAGUAAGUAUUUUAGGCUUUGUGGGCCAUAUGACAUUGUGUAUGUUGUGUAUGUAGUUGUUCCAAUUACUGAACUCUGCCAUUGCAGCUUGAAAGCAGCCAUAGCCAGUAUGUAAACAAAUAAACAUGAAUGUGUUCCAGUAAAACUU
rnacentral:lncRNA from 1 species